rnacentral:rRNA from 1 species
UACGUAGGUGGCAACCGUUGUUCGGAUUCAUUGGGCGUAAAGGGUGCGUAGGCGGUCGCGCAAGUCGGAUGUGAAAUCUCAGGGCUCAACCCUGAAACUGCAUUCGAUACUGCGUGGCUAGAGUGCUGGAGAGGAGACUGGAAUUUACGGUGUAGCAGUGAAAUGCGUAGAUAUCGUAAGGAAGACCAGUGGCGAAGGCGAGUCUCUGGACAGCAACUGACGCUGAGGCACGAAGGCCAGGGGAGCAAACGGG